UCUCUGGUAGUAUACUGGUUAGUACACGCGCCUGUCAUUCGAUGUCGAAGAACUGACGUUGCGCGCGAAAGCUGGGUUUGACUCCCAGCCAGAGAG